rnacentral:lncRNA from 1 species
UUGUUUUGAUCAGGAAGCAGACAACGAGACUUGCAGACGAGUUACUCAUUUGUUCAUGUGUGUUUAUUUUAUAGAUCAUUGAGAUCAUAUCACCACUUAGACGGAACAGCUUCAGCUUACCAAUUAAUUCUCCAAGUUUUUAGAAGAAGGAUUUGACUUGGCUAGUCAACAACACAAGCCAAAAAGAUCAUUGAGAUCAUAUCACCACUGUUACACGGAACAGGUUCAGCUUACCAAUUCUCCAAGUUUUUAGAAGAAGGAUUUGACUUGGCUAGUCAACAACACAAGCCAAGAUCAUUGAUAUCAUAUCAUCACUGUUACAUGGAACACCUUUAGUUGUUGUAAAGAUGCUGCCAGCUAUCCAGCUAAUGUUGAAGGCAUGCAGUCUCAAUCGAUCAUCAUAAACUAGUUAUCUCUGCCAACAUCAGUGAUAUUGUUUGUACCAAACACACUCAGGCAUGCCUUAGUGUGAACUGAGUUCAUUGAGUUUUUAUUUUAUUUAUUAUUUUGUUAUUUCACAUUUUCAUGACAUGGCAACGUCAUGAAAAUUUGCACAUUUCAAACAUAUCGGCAACGUUUAGAGCGUCAAAGACGCUCAUGUCUCCUAGCACUUUACGAGAGCACUUCUCUCGUGGUGAAACCGUGAAAUAGUGUUUUAUUUAUGUGAAAUAAGAAGCCGUCAAGUCGAUAUUCGAAAUUUUCCGUCACAUAAAAGUUCCAAACUCUUCAUCUAUGCGAUGGACAUCACUCAGUGGAGUGCUUCUGAAGUUAAGCAAGCUUUGGAAGCAGAAGGCUUUGAGUUGGAUAUCUGCGAAACUUUGUGUACGCUCAGAGAAUCUCAAUCCAACAUGUUCAAGUCAAGCUGAGACUGCGUGAACACCAAUGCUGACAAAGUACGCUCAGAGAAUCUCAAUCCAACAUGUUCAAGUCAAGCUGAGACUGUGAACACCAAUGCUGACAAAGUACGCUCAGAGAAUCUCAAUCCAACAUGUUCAAGUCAAGCUGAGACUUCAAACACCAAUGCUGACAAAGUGAGUCUGAUGGACUGAUGUGUUCCGUAAUAUUUCAUUUUUUGACGAUUGAUUGUAACUUCAAUACAAUAAUGUGUUACUCA